rnacentral:misc_RNA from 1 species
GAUGAAGAACGCAGUGAAAUGCGAUAAGUAAUGUGAAUUGCAGAAUUCAGUGAAUCAUCGAAUCUUUGAACGCACAUUGCGCCCCCUGGUAUUCCGGGGGGCAUGCCUGUUCGAGCGUCAUUACAACCCUCAAGCUCUGCUUGGUAUUGGGCCCCGCCAGUUCUGGCGGGCCCUAAAGUCAGUGGCGGUGCCUUCCGGCUCCGAGCGUAGUAAUUCUUCUCGCUCUGGAGACCCGGUUGUGUGCUUGCCAACAACCCCCAAUUUUAUCAGGUUGACCUCGGAUCAGGUAGGGAUACCCGCUGAACUUAAGCAUAUCAAUAAGCGGAGGA